UACGUAGGUGGCAAGCGUUGUCCGGAAUUAUUGGGCGUAAAGCGCGCGCAGGCGGUCCUUUAAGUCUGAUGUGAAAGCCCACGGCUCAACCGUGGAGGGUCAUUGGAAACUGGGGGACUUGAGUGCAGAAGAGGAAAGCGGAAUUCCACGUGUAGCGGUGAAAUGCGUAGAUAUGUGGAGGAACACCAGUGGCGAAGGCGGCUUUCUGGUCUGUAACUGACGCUGAGGCGCGAAAGCGUGGGGAGCAAACAGG
rnacentral:rRNA from 1 species